AGAGUUUGAUCCUGGCUCAGGACGAACGCUGGCGGCGUGCCUAAUACAUGCAAGUAGAACGCUGAAGGAGGAGCUUGCUUCUCUGGAUGAGUUGCGAACGGGUGAGUAACGCGUAGGUAACCUGCCUGGUAGCGGGGGAUAACUAUUGGAAACGAUAGCUAAUACCGCAUAAUAGUAGAUGUUGCAUGACAUUUGCUUAAAAGGUGCAAUUGCAUCACUACCAGAUGGACCUGCGUUGUAUUAGCUAGUUGGUGAGGUAACGGCUCACCAAGGCGACGAUACAUAGCCGACCUGAGAGGGUGAUCGGCCACACUGGGACUGAGACACGGCCCAGACUCCUACGGGAGGCAGCAGUAGGGAAUCUUCGGCAAUGGACGGAAGUCUGACCGAGCAACGCCGCGUGAGUGAAGAAGGUUUUCGGAUCGUAAAGCUCUGUUGUAAGAGAAGAACGAGUGUGAGAGUGGAAAGUUCACACUGUGACGGUAUCUUACCAGAAAGGGACGGCUAACUACGUGCCAGCAGCCGCGGUAAUACGUAGGUCCCGAGCGUUGUCCGGAUUUAUUGGGCGUAAAGCGAGCGCAGGCGGUUAGAUAAGUCUGAAGUUAAAGGCUGUGGCUUAACCAUAGUACGCUUUGGAAACUGUUUAACUUGAGUGCAAGAGGGGAGAGUGGAAUUCCAUGUGUAGCGGUGAAAUGCGUAGAUAUAUGGAGGAACACCGGUGGCGAAAGCGGCUCUCUGGCUUGUAACUGACGCUG
rnacentral:rRNA from 1 species